UACGUAGGGUGCAAGCGUUAAUCGGAAUUACUGGGCGUAGAGCGUGCGCAGGCGGUUUUGUAAGUCUGUCGUGAAAUCCCCGGGCUCAACCUGGGAAUGGCGAUGGAGACUGCAAGGCUAGAGUUUGGCAGAGGGGGGUAGAAUUCCACGUGUAGCAGUGAAAUGCGUAGAUAUGUGGAGGAACACCGAUGGCGAAGGCAGCCCCCCUGGGUCAAAAACUGACGCUCAUGCACGAAAGCGUGGGGAGCAAACAGG
rnacentral:rRNA from 1 species